rnacentral:rRNA from 1 species
AUACGUAGGUGACAAGCGUUAUCCGGAUUUACUGGGUGUAGAGGGCGUGUAGGCGGUUUAGCAAGUCAGAAGUGAAAUUCCCGGGCUUAACUUGGGCGCUGCUUCUGAAACUGCUUUACUUGAGUGCUGGAGAGGAUAGUGGAAUUCCUAGUGUAGCGGUAAAAUGCGCAGAUAUUAGGAGGAACACCGGUGGCGAAGGCGGCUAUCUGGGUAGUAACUGACGCUGAGGCGCGAAAGCACGGGGAGCAAACAGGAUUAGAUACCCUGGUAGUCCGUGCCGUAAACGAUGAAUACUAGGUGUAGGGGGUAUCGACUCCCUCUGUGCCGCAGUUAACACAUUAAGUAUUCCACCUGGGGAGUACGGCCGCAAGGUUGAAACUUAAAUGAAUUGGCGGGG